CCCUAUGGGGUGCAGCAGGCGUAGAAAACUUUGCAAUGUGCGAAAGCACGACAAGGUUAAUCCGAGUGGUUUCUGCUAAAGGAACCUUUUGUCAGUCCUAGAAACACUGGUGAAUAAGGGGUGGGCAAGUUCUGGUGUCAGCCGCCGCGGUAAAACCAGCACCUCAAGUGGUCAGGAUGAUUAUUGGGCCUAAAGCAUCCGUAGCCUGCUUUGUUAGUUUUCGGUUAAAUCCAUACGCUUAACGUAUGGGCUGCCGGGAAUACUGCAAAGCUAGGGAGUGGGAGAGGUAGACGGUACUCGGUAGGAAGGGGUAAAAUCCUUUGAUCUAUUGAUGACCACCUGUGGCGAAGGCGGUCUACCAGAACACGUCCGACGGUGAGGGAUGAAAGCUGGGGGAGCAAACCGGAUUAGAUACCCGGGUAGUCCCAGCUGUAAACUAUGCAAACUCGGUGAUGCAUUGGCUUGAUGCCAAUGCAGUGCCGCAGGGAAGCCGUUAAGUUUGCCGCCUGGGAAGUACGUACGCAAGUAUGAAACUUAAAGGAAUUGGCGGGGGGGCACCACAAGGGGUGAAGCCUGCGGUUCAAUUGGAGUCAACGCCAGAAAUCUUACCCGGAGAGACAGCAGAAUGAAAGUCAAGCUGAGACUUUACCAGACAGCUGAGAGGAGUGCAUGGCCAAGGCGAUUCGCCUUCCCUAUGGGGUGCAGCAGCGCGAAACU
rnacentral:rRNA from 1 species